UCUGGGUGUAUAAAAUGGUGUGAGUGUAAUAUUGUUCUGUAAUAUUUAGAGUGUUUUCUUUGUUGUGUUUUAGGUUCAGGAGGGGUUCUAGAUAUUUCCAUAGAGAGGUUCCACUUUGCAUUAUCAGCCCAUGCUUCAGUGCUCUGCUAGUGUUUAUAGUCCUGUGAGUUUAACACUUCAUGACUGAGAGCUGCUGCCCAGCAACUUCACCCACAGCAACCAUGACUUUCUUCUCCAUCUUCAUCUGGACUCUCACUCUCUGGACUGGAGAGUCUUUUGGGGAAAUCAUAAUGACUCAGUCUCCAAAUUCUCAGCUUGUGACUCCAGGACAGACUGUUACCAUCAGCUGCAGAUCCAGUCAGUACAUCAGCAAUGCUCUUGCCUGGUAUCUUCAGAAAUCUGGAGAAGCUCCUAAACUGCUGAUCAGAUCUGCUUCUUCUCGUCAGUCUGGUGUUUCUGAUCGUUUUACUGGGAGUGGAUCUGGUACAGAGUUUACUCUACAGAUCUCUGGAGUUCAGGCUGGAGAUGCAGGAGAUUAUUACUGUCAGCAGUAUUACAGCUAUCCACUCACACAGUGUUAGAGCGUCGUACAAAAACCUCCCUCAGCUGUAGAGGAAGUGCUCAGACUCAGAAACACACACAGUUGUAGGAUUGAAGAUAG